AGAGUUUGAUCAUGGCUCAGGAUGAACGCUAGCGGAGGCCUAACACAUGCAAGCCGAGCGGUAGAGAUUCUUCGGAAUCUUGAGAGCGGCGUACGGGUGCGGAACACGUGUGCAACCUACCUUUAUCUGGAGGAUAGCCUUUCGAAAGGAAGAUUAAUACUCCAUAAUAUAUUGAUUGGCAUCAAUUGAUAUUGAAAGCUCCGGCGGAUAGAGAUGGGCACGCGCAAGAUUAGUUAGUUGGUGAGGUAACGGCUCACCAAGACGAUGAUCUUUAGGGGGCCUGAGAGGGUGAUCCCCCACACUGGUACUGAGACACGGACCAGACUCCUACGGGAGGCAGCAGUGAGGAAUAUUGGUCAAUGGGUGCAAGCCUGAACCAGCCAUCCCGCGUGAAGGACGACUGCCCUAUGGGUUGUAAACUUCUUUUGUAUAGGGAUAAACCUACCCUCGUGAGGGUAGCUGAAGGUACUAUACGAAUAAGCACCGGCUAACUCCGUG
rnacentral:rRNA from 1 species